rnacentral:pre_miRNA from 1 species
AUACAAAUUACCUGGGGAUUUUAUUAAAGAGCAAACUCUAUCAGUAGGUCUGAGAGUUAGCAUUUCAAAUGCAUUCCUAGGUGGUCCAAUG